rnacentral:rRNA from 1 species
AUUGAACGCUGGCGGCAGGCCUAACACAUGCAAGUCGAACGCGUGGCGGACGGGUGAGUAAUGUUUGGGAAAAUGCCCGAUGGAGGGGGAUAACUACUGGAAACGGUAGCUAAUAACGCAUACCAUCGGAUGUGCCCAGAUGGGAUUAGCUUGUAGGUGGGGUAACGGCUCACCUAGGCGACGAUCCCUAGCUGGUCUGAGAGGAUGACCAGCCACACUGGAACUGAGACACGGUCCAGACUCCUACGGGAGGCAGCAGUGGGGAAUAUUGGACAAUGGGCGAAAGCCUGAUCCAGCCAUGCCGCGUGUGUGAAGAAGGUCUUCGGAUUGUAAAGCACUUUAAGUUGGGAGGCGUUACCAACAGAAUAAGCACCGGCUAACUUCGUGCCAGCAGCCGCGGUAAUUC